rnacentral:rRNA from 1 species
UACGUAGGGGGCAAGCGUUGUCCGGAAUCAUUGGGCGUAAAGAGCGUGUAGGCGGCCCGAUAAGUCCGCUGUGAAAGUCCAGGGCUCAACCCUGGGAUGCCGGUGGAUACUGUCGGGCUCGAGUCCGGAAGAGGAGUGUGGAAUUCCUGGUGUAGCGGUGAAAUGCGUAGAUAUCUGGAGGAACACCGGUGGCGAAGGCGGCAUCCUGGACCGAAAUUGACGCUGAGGCGCGAAAGCCAGGGGAGCAAACGGA